UGUCUUUGACGACCUGCUGUUUCAUGGUUCGUGUUCGGGAGAAUGACACCCACACGAAUCGAUUGACACCCACAGGAG
rnacentral:snoRNA from 1 species